rnacentral:piRNA from 1 species
UCGUUUCCUAUUUUUGCGACGAGGACAC